rnacentral:rRNA from 1 species
CCCCUAGACGUUCUGGGCUGCACGCGCGCUACAAUAAUACGCGCAGCGAGUAUCACCGAGCUCGAAAGGGCAAGGUAAACAAUAGAAAAGGUACUGUAAUGGUUAUAGAUCCUUGUAAUUAUUGAUCUUCAACGAGGAAUUCCUAGUAAGUAUGUGUCAUCAUCACGCACUGAUUACGUCCCUGCCCUUUGUACACACCGCCCGUCGCUCCUACCGAUUGAGUGAGCCGAUGAAACUGCCGGAUGUGGACUAUUCAUAGUCUGCAGAAGAUAUUUGAAUCGUAGCGCUUAGAGGAAGGAGAAGUCGUAACA